rnacentral:rRNA from 1 species
CAGUCGCCGCGGUAAUACGUAGGUGGCAAGCGUUGUCCGGAAUUAUUGGGCGUAAAGGGCUCGCAGGCGGUUUCUUAAGUCUGAUGUGAAAGCCCCCGGCUCAACCGGGGAGGGUCAUUGGAAACUGGGAAACUUGAGUGCAGAAGAGGAGGGUGGAAUUCCACGUGUAGCGGUGAAAUGCGUAGAGAUGUGGAGGAACACCAGUGGCGAAGGCGACUCUCUGGUCUGUAACUGACGCUGAGGAGCGAAAGCGUGGGGAGCGAACAGGAUUAGAUACCCCAGUAGUCCCUGUCUCUUAUAC